rnacentral:lncRNA from 1 species
AGCCACUCUGACAAGCUGGAGGGAGGGUUUUGCUGGAGCAGAUACUUGGCACACACCUGAGCUGCCCAAUCUGAAAUUAAGGGAAGAAAAAGGGAAAUGUGCAGCUUGACUCACCGAUAAUCUAUCGUGAUGGGAGUUGCUCCCAAGGCAAUGGUGUGUUUUCAGUUCUCACUACAUAGGCACUAACGGCCUACUUAGUCAUGGAAAGAAAAUGCAGCCCCACAUCUUCUAAAGGAGGGGAUACUUUAUAACUUUCUACCUUAAAGUGGAUGCUAAAGGCCAAUGUGUGACCAAGAACAAAUCAUGAGGUGGUUCCAAUGAGACUCAAGGAAAACGUUCAGAAUGCAGACGAAAUAAACUUGGAGUUUGGAAUGGAUAAAACUUCUUGACUGAAGUUUAAAUAUAAACCCAGAUUUCUAAUCACCCUUUAUUCUCCACCUAAAUACCCAUAAUAAUCUUCUAUGAUGCUUGAUAUCAUUAAAGCUCCAAGACCCUGCACAGUAUUAGAG